GACAGAGGGGGCAAGCGUUGCUCGGAAUUACUGGGCGUAAAGGGCGCGUAGGCGGCGGGGUAAGUCUGGUGUGAAAUCUCGGAGCUCAACUCCGAAAUUGCACUGGAUACUGCUCUGCUAGAGGGCUGGAGAGGAGAUCGGAAUUCACGGUGUAGCAGUGAAAUGCGUAGAUAUCGUGAGGAAGACCAGUGGCGAAGGCGGAUCUCUGGACAGCUCCUGACGCUGAGGCGCGAAGGCUAGGGGAGCAAACGGG
rnacentral:rRNA from 1 species